UAGGGAAUCUUCGGCAAUGGGGGCAACCCUGACCGAGCAACGCCGCGUGAGUGAAGAAGGUUUUCGGAUCGUAAAGCUCUGUUGUAAGAGAAGAACGUGUGUGAGAGUGGAAAGUUCACACAGUGACGGUAACUUACCAGAAAGGGACGGCUAACUACGUGCCAGCAGCCGCGGUAAUACGUAGGUCCCGAGCGUUGUCCGGAUUUAUUGGGCGUAAAGCGAGCGCAGGCGGUUUAAUAAGUCUGAAGUUAAAGGCAGUGGCUUAACCAUUGUUCGCUUUGGAAACUGUUAAACUUGAGUGCAGAAGGGGAGAUUGGAAUUCCAUGUGUAGAGGUGAAAUGCGUAGAUAUAUGGAGGAGCACCGGUGGCGAAAGCGGCUCUCUGGUCUGUAACUGACGCUGAGGCUCGAAAGCGUGGGGAGCAAACAGG
rnacentral:rRNA from 1 species